ACGAACGCUGGCGGCGUGCUUAACACAUGCAAGUCGAACGGAAAGGCCCUUCGGGGUACUCGAGUGGCGAACGGGUGAGUAACACGUGGGUGAUCUGCCCUGCACUUUGGGAUAAGCCUGGGAAACUGGGUCUAAUACCGAAUAGGACCACGCGCUUCAUGGUGUGUGGUGGAAAGCUUUUGCGGUGUGGGAUGGGCCCGCGGCCUAUCAGCUUGUUGGUGGGGUAAUGGCCUACCAAGGCGACGACGGGUAGCCGGCCUGAGAGGGUGACCGGCCACACUGGGACUGAGAUACGGCCCAGACUCCUACGGGAGGCAGCAGUGGGGAAUAUUGCACAAUGGGCGCAAGCCUGAUGCAGCGACGCCGCGUGAGGGAUGACGGCCUUCGGGUUGUAAACCUCUUUCACCAGGGACGAAGCGUAAGUGACGGUACCUGGAGAAGAAGCACCGGCCAACUACGU
rnacentral:rRNA from 1 species